AGAAUCAACGCUGGCGGCGUGCCUAACACAUGCAAGUCGAACGAGAAAGUGGAGCAAUCCAUGAGUAAAGUGGCGACCGGGUGAGUAACACGUGACUAACCUACCUUCGAGUGGGGGAUAACCUCGGGAAACCGAGGCUAAUACCGCAUAACAUCGCAAGGUCAAAGCAGCAAUGCGCUGGAAGAGGGGGUCGCGGCUGAUUAGCUAGUUGGCGGGUAACGGCCCACCAAGGCGAAGAUCGGUA
rnacentral:rRNA from 1 species